rnacentral:misc_RNA from 1 species
GAUGAAGAACGCAGCGAAAUGCGAUAAGUAAUGAGAAUUGCAGAAUUCCGUGAAUCAUCGAAUCUUUGAACGCACAUUGCGCCCCCUGGUAUUCCGGGGGGCAUGCCUGUCCGAGCGUCAUUGCAACCCUCAAGCGCGGCUUGCGUGUUGGGCGCCGUCCCCCGUGGACGCGCCCGAAAGGCAGUGGCGGUACCGUGCUCCGGUGCCCGAGCGUAUGGGCUUAAAACCCGCUCUUGUGGCCCGGCCGGCGCUGGCCUCGACCCCCAACUUUACAAGGUUGACCUCGGAUCAGGUAGGGAUACCCGCUGAACUUAAGCAUAUCAAUAAGCGGAGGA